rnacentral:piRNA from 1 species
UACUCUUUAUUUCCUUCGGAUGCUAGGGUC